UGGCUAGUUGGCAGAACUCUUUUUACACACCAGUAGAGUGUUUAUCAGAGCGGAGCCCUGAAUGUGACGUCACCCGUAAUCUCGUCUCUGUAAACAAUGGAUGUUGCGCAGCAUUUAUUAUUACGUCAUUAUAUAGACUUUCUCUCAGCACCCCCCCCCCCCCCUCGGACUGACUUCCCGCGUCCCUGUUCAUAAAGAAACUAACUUUGGAUAAACUAAGAAUGUCGUCCGCUGACACAUUCGUAAUCGAUCCGCUGACCGUCACCGUGAGUUCACUGUCAUGUUGCUUGUUCUUCAUCUUGGUGGCUCUGCUGCUGGUGCUGAUCUACAGGAGGGAUCCGUUCUGCUGCAGGACAGCCAGCUCCCGAACCACGAAUGAACCUCCCCACUAUCACAGCAGGGACGCUCUGGUUGGCUUUGGACUACAUGACGACAGAAUCAUGAACUGUGAUGACUUUGACCAUAAUCAACCCCCCAGAGGUCCCUUCGUGAUCGGGAAGCCCAGUGAUUACCACCUGCCGGGGGCCGCCCCACGCCUGCCGUCCUACGAGAGUGUUUGCAGGAAGGACCGGAGAACGCUCAUCCACCACAUGAUCUCUGAGCGCUUCAGCCUGAGAACCAGCUCGCACGGUGACUGGGAGGUAAGGGGAUACCGGGACACUGGAUUACACACACACACACACACACACACACACACACACACACACACACACACACACACACACACACACACACACACACACACACACACACACACACACACACACACACACGAUAUAGUGCUGACUAGUUGAUCACCGUCAUGUUUACGAGGUUGAUUAUAAUUUCGAUUUGAUUUUAAGACAUCACUUUGGGCUCCGGCAAUCAAUUAGGAUGUGACAUUUCAUUUAACGAAAAACAUGGAAAUAACUAAUCAAUAAGUCAACUGACAAAGCCAUAAUUGGCACAAUUAAUGUCCUGUCAUUCACAGCCUCCUCCUUCAUACGCCGAGUCCCUCCACCAGCCUCUCCACGUUCCCUCCCUGGGUUUGGGGCGUCUGGAUGACCACAGGGUUCCUGCCCAGGACCAAGAUGGCCGUUCUUCAAACAGGGACCACAGUGCAUCACCUGAACAUCCGGAGCCACAUCUCCCGACCAGCCAGGACCGCAGAGUCUGACCAGAUAAAGCUACCGUACCAACUUGGGGGGCUGUCCUCUCUCGUCAGCUCGUCUCUUACAGGCUGAGCGCAGGAGAAUGAUUGUCGGGCCGUGUAUAAUGUUAAAGGGUUAUGAAAGGCGUGUGAGGCGCCUGUGAGGACGGGAUUUGAGGAUCGUGACGACUCAUGCCAGCACACUUAAAAUCACAGAGGCUCAGGUUGCUAUUGUAAACUGUUAUCGCAACAUGUGUGUGUUCGCUCUUUGCUUUGGCAAGGGGAAGAAUUCAAAGUUAUCAAUUUACCAGAGCUGGAAUCCUGGAAUAUGAUAAUUACUUUGCCAACGUCUAUGGACGUGUGGGGUAUAAGGAUCCUUUUUGUCAAAGUUGUUGGACAGAGGUCCAACGGUGGUUUUCGUCAAGGAACAACCUGUGGUCAGCCGAAAAAACUGAACUUUAACUCAAGGCAGGCAAACAUCACCUAUGAUCAUUAGCUUGUGAGGGAGAGAGGAAGGAUAAUGAAAGUUACUGAUUAACCCAGCUCAAAUACCAGACACAGGCAGACGAAACAAACACUGGGAGCUGUUUGGUGUGUCCAGAGUUUUGUUCAGAUUAAUUUUUCUUCAUUGUCAAUGUUUAACAAAUUGUGUGCCUUAGGGUUCUACUUGGUGCCUCUCCAUGAUUGAUACCAAUGACAUCCUGUCCACGGCUUUCAGUAUGUAACGUAGAAUUCCCUUUGGACACCACAUAUAAAGAGUCAGCAGGGACAAGGACUGCAUUCCUCUCAUAAGUUGUAUAACUUGAAUUCUAUUAAUGCCUUCUUUGUGUUCACCCUUGCUCCAGCUGUGACCGAGUAUAAAACGACCUAAACUCCCCACAUAACAUUCAUUCCACUCUGACACGAGCAACCCUGAACUCACUCCCAUUCAGAGAGUACCAGGCGCUGUGCUCACUCCCCUGCAUACCACGGGAACCCCCAGCCCCCCACGUCUAAAGCCGUGUUUGACUUGCUUUCAUAACUGCAAUGUGGUCAGUGAAUCAUUGUGGAAAAGGAGUGUCGGAUAUCAGAUAUUCUAGACAACGAAAGCAACACUAUUAGACAAGUUUAGAUACAUGGAAGGAACAAGGCCUGUAAGUGAACUGGCCCAUAGCAGGCCCUGGAGAUUAGGUUACAUGUUAUUUUGUGUAGAAAGCAAUAAGAAGUCUACACUGCAAAGGUUCAUUGCCCCGUUUCUGUCUAGAAAUCCUGUGCUAGAAUCAGAGGGCUCCCAUUCUAGGAUUUGUCUGCGGGCCUACCUUUUCUGGCAAAUCACAGCCAAUCAACAGUCAUGUACCCCUUGAAUGAAAUCCAAUUAAUAAAUGGGACUUACAACCAUAGCUUAUCAAAAACCUGCUUGGACAGCUUUAGAGUGAACAGGGAGAGGGAGGUGAUAAGUAGGACCGUAUGUUUUGAAAGUUUAGACUCUGCUUGCUUUAAAUAGCCAAUCUUGCAUAUUGUAGGUUUAUGAAUAGUAAUUGUGUUUAACGGCAUGUCAUUUCCAGAUGGUGUUUACCUAUUCAAACUAUACAUUUCUUUUACAUGCAAAUCCAAUCAACAUAACUGCUGCUAUUGCUGAAAAAAGUCAAAUGACUUUGGCCUUAUCGAUACAAUUAACAAUUUAUUCAAGGAAGCCACCAUUGAUUGAUUCGUGUUCAUGUGAUUGACCCGUCUCACCUGCCAAAUAAGAUGCUUGGAUAUCACUGAUAAUCACAACACAAUAUAAACCCUUGAUUAGCACGAUGCAGUUUAUUUUUAAUAUGAAAGCAGAAGUGUCUUCAUGAUUCACUUAGCAUGCUAGAGGAAGAUUUUAUAAAUAUUUGUAUUACAUUCUUAAAAGCAAGGUGGUUGCCAAUAUGGUUGUGUAAAGAAAAAAUACACCCUCUUUCAAUUCUAAUAACUAUAGGCAACCGUGCUUAAAACUUGCUUAUGCUACUGUGAUUGGGACCGUGCUACAUUGACCGUGAGAGACAUCUUGUGGUUAGAAAAUAAAAUGCACCUUUUUAAGCUUCAAA